UGUUUGUUUGCGUAUGACGUCAAGAAGACAAACGAGACGCCAGAGAAAUGCUGCAGGAAGUAAUUUCACAGCGUCUCAAAAGACAUCACCUGAACAAAGGUGUCACCACUUUAUCCACGACAUCGUCCACGAUCGCAGAGACAUGGUCCAUGAUCGGAGAGACAUUGUUGAGGAUGAGGGAGACAUCGUCCACGAUCAGAGACAUUGUCCAUGAUCGCAGAGACCUUGUCAAAGAUGAGAGAGACGUUGUCCUUGAUCAGAGACAUUGUCCCAUGCUUCGUAGAGACCUUGCGAUAGAAUCGGCGGAGACGGGGGUCACCGAUUUGACGGCACUGCCCGCGAUCAUGGAGACAUUGUUGAUGUUCACAGAGACACCGUCUAUGAUCUCAGAGACAUCGUCCACAAUCACAAAGACAUUGUCUGUGAUCACAGAGACUUUGUCCAUAAUCUCAGAGACAUUGUCCGCGAUCACAGAGACGCAGUCCACGAUCACAGAGAGCUAUCGUACAAUGAAGAAGUUCUUUGAGACCAGGACAGAGGCCUCCACGUAAUUCACAAACAGUGUCACCACUUUGUCCACGACAUCGUCCACGAUCGCAGAGACAUGGUCCAUGAUCGGAGAGACAUUGUUGAGGAUGAGGGAGAUAUCGUCCAUGAUCAGAGACAUUGUCCAUGAUUGCAGAGACCUUGUCAAAGAUGAGAGAGACGUUGUCCUUGAUCAGAGACAUUGUCCCAUGCUUCGUAGAGACCUUGCGAUAGAAUCGGCGGAGACGGGGGUCACCGAUUUGACGGCACUGCCCGCGAUCAUGGAGACAUUGUUGAUGUUCACAGAGACACCGUCUAUGAUCUCAGAGACAUCGUCCACAAUCACAAAGACAUUGUCUGUGAUCACAGAGACUUUGUCCAUAAUCUCAGAGACAUUGUCCGCGAUCACAGAGACGCAGUCCACGAUCACAGAGAGCUAUCGUACAAUGAAGAAGUUCUUUGAGACCAGGACAGAGGCCUCCACGUAAUUCACAAACAGUGUCACCACUUUGUCCACGACAUCGUCCACGAUCGCAGAGACAUGGUCCAUGAUCGGAGAGACAUUGUUGAGGAUGAGGGAGAUAUCGUCCAUGAUCAGAGACAUUGUCCAUGAUUGCAGAGACCUUGUCAAAGAUGAGAGAGACGUUGUCCUUGAUCAGAGACAUUGUCCCAUGCUUCGUAGAGACCUUGCGAUAGAAUCGGCGGAGACGGGGGUCACCGAUUUGACGGCACUGCCCGCGAUCAUGGAGACAUUGUUGAUGUUCACAGAGACACCGUCUAUGAUCUCAGAGACAUCGUCCACAAUCACAAAGACAUUGUCCGUGAUCACAGAGACUUUGUCCAUAAUCUCAGAGACAUUGUCCGCGAUCACAGAGAUGCAGUCCACGAUCAGAGAGCUGUCGUGCAAUGAGGAAGUUCUUUGAGACCAGGACAGAGGCCUUCAGGUGUCACCACUUUAUCCACGACAUCGUCCACGAUCGCAGAGACAUGGUCCAUGAUCGGAGAGACAUUGUUGAGGAUGAGGGAGACAUCGUCCACGAUCAGAGACAUUGUCCAUGAUCGCAGAGACCUUGUCAAAGAUGAGAGAGACGUUGUCCUUGAUCAGAGACAUUGUCCCAUGCUUCGUAGAGACCUUGCGAUAGAAUCGGCGGAGACGGGGGUCACCGAUUUGACGGCACUGCCCGCGAUCAUGGAGACAUUGUUGAUGUUCACAGAGACACCGUCUAUGAUCUCAGAGACAUCGUCCACAAUCACAAAGACAUUGUCUGUGAUCACAGAGACUUUGUCCAUAAUCUCAGAGACAUUGUCCGCGAUCACAGAGACGCAGUCCACGAUCACAGAGAGCUAUCGUACAAUGAAGAAGUUCUUUGAGACCAGGACAGAGGCCUCCACGUAAUUCACAAACAGUGUCACCACUUUGUCCACGACAUCGUCCACGAUCGCAGAGACAUGGUCCAUGAUCGGAGAGACAUUGUUGAGGAUGAGGGAGAUAUCGUCCAUGAUCAGAGACAUUGUCCAUGAUUGCAGAGACCUUGUCAAAGAUGAGAGAGACGUUGUCCUUGAUCAGAGACAUUGUCCCAUGCUUCGUAGAGACCUUGCGAUAGAAUCGGCGGAGACGGGGGUCACCGAUUUGACGGCACUGCCCGCGAUCAUGGAGACAUUGUUGAUGUUCACAGAGACACCGUCUAUGAUCUCAGAGACAUCGUCCACAAUCACAAAGACAUUGUCUGUGAUCACAGAGACUUUGUCCAUAAUCUCAGAGACAUUGUCCGCGAUCACAGAGACGCAGUCCACGAUCACAGAGAGCUAUCGUACAAUGAAGAAGUUCUUUGAGACCAGGACAGAGGCCUCCACGUAAUUCACAAACAGUGUCACCACUUUGUCCACGACAUCGUCCACGAUCGCAGAGACAUGGUCCAUGAUCGGAGAGACAUUGUUGAGGAUGAGGGAGAUAUCGUCCAUGAUCAGAGACAUUGUCCAUGAUUGCAGAGACCUUGUCAAAGAUGAGAGAGACGUUGUCCUUGAUCAGAGACAUUGUCCCAUGCUUCGUAGAGACCUUGCGAUAGAAUCGGCGGAGACGGGGGUCACCGAUUUGACGGCACUGCCCGCGAUCAUGGAGACAUUGUUGAUGUUCACAGAGACACCGUCUAUGAUCUCAGAGACAUCGUCCACAAUCACAAAGACAUUGUCCGUGAUCACAGAGACUUUGUCCAUAAUCUCAGAGACAUUGUCCGCGAUCACAGAGAUGCAGUCCACGAUCAGAGAGCUGUCGUGCAAUGAGGAAGUUCUUUGAGACCAGGACAGAGGCCUUCAGGUGUCACCACUUUAUCCACGACAUCGUCCACGAUCGCAGAGACAUGGUCCAUGAUCGGAGAGACAUUGUUGAGGAUGAGGGAGACAUCGUCCACGAUCAGAGACAUUGUCCAUGAUCGCAGAGACCUUGUCAAAGAUGAGAGAGACGUUGUCCUUGAUCAGAGACAUUGUCCCAUGCUUCGUAGAGACCUUGCGAUAGAAUCGGCGGAGACGGGGGUCACCGAUUUGACGGCACUGCCCGCGAUCAUGGAGACAUUGUUGAUGUUCACAGAGACACCGUCUAUGAUCUCAGAGACAUCGUCCACAAUCACAAAGACAUUGUCCGUGAUCACAGAGACUUUGUCCAUAAUCUCAGAGACAUUGUCCGCGAUCACAGAGAUGCAGUCCACGAUCAGAGAGCUGUCGUGCAAUGAGGAAGUUCUUUGAGACCAGGACAGAGGCCUUCAGGUGUCACCACUUUGUCCACGACAUCGUCCACGAUCGCAGAGACAUGGUCCAUGAUCGGAGAGACAUUGUUGAGGAUGAGGGAGACAUCGUCCACUAUCAGAGACAUUGUCCAUGAUCACAGAGACCUUGUCAAAGAUGAGAGAGACGUUGUCCUUGAUCAGAGACAUUGUCCCAUGCUUCGUAGAGACCUUGCGAUAGAAUCGGCGGAGACGGGGGUCACCGAUUUGAUCAGAGAGCUGUCGUGCAAUGAGGAAAUUCUUUGAGACCAGGACAGAGGCC